rnacentral:rRNA from 1 species
UGCCAGUAGUCAUAUGCUUGUCUCAAAGAUUAAGCCAUGCAUGUCUAAGUAUAAAUAACUUUAUACUGUGAAACUGCGUACAGCUCAUUAAAUCAGUAAUUAUUUAUUUGAUGGUACCUUACUACAUGGAUACCUGUAGUAAUUCUAGAGCUAAUACAUGCACAAAGUCUCGACUUCACGGAAGAGAUGUAUUUAUUAGAUAAAAAACCAAUGCUGGUUCUGCCAGCUUCUGUGGUGACUCAUAAUAACUGAUCGAAUCGCAUGGUCUUGUACCGGCGAUAGUUCAUUCAAAUUUCUGCCCUAUCAGCUUUCGACUGUAGUGUAGUGGACUACAGUGGCACUUACGGGUGACGGAGAAUUAGGGUUCGGUUCCGGAGAGGGAGCCUGAGAAAUGGCUACCACAUCCAAGGAAGGCAGCAGGCGCGCAAAUUACCCAAUCCUGAUACAGGGAGGUAGUGACAAAAAAUAACAAUACUGGGCCUUUUCGGUCUGGUAAUUGGAAUGAGUACAAUUUAAAUCCCUUAACGAGGAUCCAUUGGAGGACAAGUCCGGU